UGGGAAGAAGGCCUUACAGGGUUGUAAACCACUUUUGUCAGGGAAGAAACGGUUCUUACUAAUAUUAGGAACUAAUGACGGUACCUGAAGAAUAAGCACCGGCUAACUACGUGCCAGCAGCCGCGGUAAUACGUAGGGUGCAAGCGUUAAUCGGAAUUACUGGGCGUAAAGCGUGCGCAGGCGGCUUUGCAAGACAGAUGUGAAAUCCCCGGGCUCAACCUGGGAACUGCAUUUGUGACUGCAUGGCUAGAGUACGGUAGAGGGGGAUGGAAUUCCGCGUGUAGCAGUGAAAUGCGUAGAUAUGCGGAGGAACACCGAUGGCGAAGGCAAUCCCCUGGACCUGUACUGACGCUCAUGCACGAAAGCGUGGGGAGCAAACAGGAUUAGAUACCCUGGUAGUCCACGCCCUAA
rnacentral:rRNA from 1 species